GCACCGCAUCGCCGCUUUGCCCCGCGACCGCGCGCGCCUCCUCGUCCUCCCCCGCGCCUUUGUUUCCGUCUCCUUCUCCUUUCCCUCCUCUUUUGUGUCGGGCCAGACUCAGCCCCAGAAACCAGCCACCCUGCCGCGUCCGACUGCCAGGGAUCCCUCACGCCGCGAGAAACCCAACACACAGCUAUUCUGUCAGGCUGCCGAGAAAAGGCUGUUCGGCAGUUGCAGCCCUGGUGAGGCAAUGAGGAGGAAAGGUGGACGCACCUGCCUGGAGUGGUUGAAGGAAGGCAGUGAACAUCCACGCUCCUGGGGUUGGUUUUCCUGAACCUCUGUAGCUGUGCUGCUCACUGGGGCAGCCACUGACCACAAGAGGCUGCCGAGGGCUUGCAGUGUGGCCAGGCCAGACCAGGAUGUUCUCCAAGUGGGAAAUACACACCCCAUUGUAAAGAAGACUGUAUGGAAAAAAGAAUGUGAACUGGCUCAUUCAUCAUUUAAAAACAUUGAUUGCAUAUUGAAAUGAUAAUAUUUUGGGUAUAUGGGGUGAAAUAAAGUAUCAUGAAUUAAAUCUUUUUUUAAAAAUGUGGCCACAAAGAA
ensembl:lncRNA LINC02981 long intergenic non-protein coding RNA 2981